AGGAUGAACGCUAGCGGCAGGCCUAAUACAUGCAAGUCGAGGGGUAGAGCUAGCUUGCUAGCUUGAGACCGGCGCACGGGUGCGUAACGCGUAUGCAACCUACCUCCAUCAGGGGGAUAGCCCGGAGAAAUCCGGAUUAACACCGCAUGAAAUCACAGCACGGCAUCGUGCAAUGAUCAAACAUUCAUGGGAUGGGGAUGGGCAUGCGUGCCAUUAGCUAGUUGGCGGGGUAAGGGCCCACCAAGGCUACGAUGGCUA
rnacentral:rRNA from 1 species